CAGUCCUCCAUAGAGACAUAAAGUCAUCCAACAUCAUGUUAGAUUCGAAAUUUGAAGCUAAGUUGGGAGAUUUCGGAUUGGCACGAACAAUAUGUCGAGCCGAACAGACCCAUCACUCAACAAGAGAGAUAGCAGGAACACCAGGAUACAUGGCUCCAGAGAUUUUUCUAACUAGUAGAGCUACGAGAGAAACAGAUGUAUAUGCCUUUGGAGUUCUUAUUCUAGAAGUUAUAUGUGGAAGAAAGCCUGGAAAUCCAUCUGAACUUGGUGGCUACAACGGCAGUCUCGCGCAUUGGGCAUGGGAGUUUCACAAGGAAGGGAAAAUUGUUGAGGCUGUGGAUGAAAGAAUUGAAGGACAAUUCGUUAAAGAAGAAAUGAAGAAUCUAUUAAUUCUAGGGUUAGCUUGUUGUCAACCUAGCCCCAUCCAAAGGCCCACCAUGAAAAAUGUUCUGCAGGUGCUCAAAGGGGAAGCAAACCCACCAAUCAUACCCAAUGAAAGGCCUUCAUUUGUGUGGCCUCCCAUACCCCCAUCAUUCAAAGAAGACACAAACAACUUACGGAAAGAAAGCCAGCUUACUCUAUUCACAGAACUUACUGGAAGAUAAUAUUUUAAUGGAAGGUUUGUUCCUAUUCAUGUCCUGUGUCUUCCCUCCAUCUUUGUCGCCAUUUCAAUAAUUGAGUGUUUAGAUCCCACAGAAUACUUCUCUGUAGCAUUCCAAAUUCUUCGAAUAUGUAAUCCAUGCCCACCUAGAUAGUUUAGGGGUAGCAAGUUAAUGGAGACGAGAAUUACUAUAUGUAAA
rnacentral:misc_RNA from 1 species